UUUUUUUUUCAUUUAAAAUUUUAAAACUUUCAAACAUUUUUAAAUGUUUAUUUUAUAUUAGAAUAUAGUUGCUUUACAGUGGUGUGUUAGUUUCAGGUGUACAGCAAAGUGAUUGAGUUCUACAUAAACAUAUAUCCAUUCUUUUUCAGAUUCUUUUCCCAUAUACGUAUUGCAGGAUACGGAGCAGAGUUCCCAGUGCUACAUAGUAGGUCCUUGCCGAUUAUCUAUAUUGUAUAUAGCAGUGUGUAUGUAUUAACCCCAAACUCCUCCAAAUGCUUGUCAUUUUAAAUUGUCUGCCCCCGGAGACUCCAUAUGACCACAUUUGGUGCUGCCUUUUUGAAAUGGGAUAUACACUCGCCAGCUCUUCUCCACCAGUCAUUUUACUUAUUUUUCAAAAUGUUCUCUCUUCAUAAGCAUUUUGAAUUUGUGUGCACCAGUACCCAAAAUGACCUUUAUCAUCCUCUAGGUGCUGUAUUCUAGUUACUAGCAUAAGUAUCUCUCUCUACAGUAUAAACUGCUUUAUGACAAACGAUUUUACUCACCUCCAGAUUCUUGCAGCAUCGGUGUCAUCUUGCAACUGGUUUAAAAAUGCCUAUUUGUAAAAGUCUAUACACUGUAGAUUCAAAUAUUGUCCAUGGUAUUCCCAUUUUUCCCACAAGAAAUAUUUCACAUCUUGGUAACAUUUCACCCAGUGGGGGCAACUGUGUCCCCCAGGGGGCACUUGGCAAUGUCUAGAGACAUUUCUGGUUGUCACAACUUGGCGGCCCAGGGGGGAUGCUACUGACAUCUCUUGUGUAGGUGCCAGGAACACUGCUCAACAUCCCACAGUGCACAGGACAGCACCUCCACAAUAAAGACUCCUCCCGCAGAGGAUGUCAGCAGUGCGUAGGCUGGGAAACUAAAGAAACCAAAGGAAUGGUUUGUCCCACAGUUUUGACUUGUGGCUGCCUAAGAGGGGCUGAUACUUGAUUUAGAAUAGUGAGUCCCUGAGCAGCUUGUGGCAGUGACACAAUCGGCCUCAUUGGGAUUUUAACCAUUUCUUGAAUGGGUAAUUAUACUGCUCCUCCAAACAAAUGCAAUUUGGGCAAUAUUAUGUCCUUUUAAGCCUUCUGAAUUUGCUUUUAAUAUUCGCAUUUUCUAAAAGACCAUAGCUGAAUAUAUGCAUAUAUACACAUUCCAAAAGAGAGAUGGAUGGAGUUCCCGUUGUGGCUCAGCAGGUUAAGAAUCUAACUAGCAUCCAUGAGGAUGCAGGUUCAAUCCCUGGCCUUGCUCACAAUCUGAGGUGUAGGUCACAGAUAUGGCUCUGAUCCAGCUGUGCUGUGGUGUAGAAAAAUAAACAGAUAGAUAGAUAGAACCCCUUCAAUCUGUGAGCAUGCAGGCAGAAUAAUGGUAAACAUUUAAUCCUGUGAAUUAUAUAUUCCCAGUAUUUUACUCUUUUGAGUUUUUAUGUUUGUUUUUAGGGCCUCACCAUGGCAUGUGGAAGUUCUCAGGCUAGGGGUCAAAUCGGAGCUACAGCUACCAGCCUAAGCCACAGCCACAGCAACUCAGAAUCCCAGCCAUGUCCUC
rnacentral:lncRNA from 1 species